rnacentral:rRNA from 1 species
AGAGUUUGAUUCUGGCUCAGAACGAACGCUGGCAGCGUGGAUUAGGCAUGCAAGUCGAACGGGAUCCAGAGAGGUAGCAAUGCUGAUCUGGUGAGAGUGGCGGAAGGGCGAGGAAGGCAUGGACAACCUGUCUUCAGGGUGGGGAUAACCCCGCGAAAGCGGGGCUAAUACCGAAUGUGGCGUAUGGGGCGCAUGCUCUAUGCGUUAAAGGUGGGGAUCGCAAGACCUGCCCCCUGAUGAGGGGUCCGUGUGCCAUCAGCUUGUUGGUGGGGUAACGGCCUACCAAGGCAUACGGCUAGCUGGUCUGAGAGGAUGAUCAGCCGCACUGGGACUGAGACACUGCCCAGACUCCUACGGGGGGCUGCAGUCGAGGAUCAUUCGCAAUGGGGGGAACCCUGACGAUGCGACGCUGCGUGGAGGAUGACGGCCUUCGGGUUGUAAACUCCUGUCAUGGGGGAAGAGCUAUGGGGGGUUAAUAGCCUCUCUGAUGGACGGUACCCCAAGAGGAAGCCACGGCUAACUCUGUGCCAGCAGCCGCGGUAAUACAGAGGUGGCGAGCGUUGUUCGGAUUUACUGGGCGUAAAGGGCGCGUAGGCGGCGCAGUGUGUCAGGUGUGAAAUCCAUGGGCUCAACCCAUGAAGUGCGCCUGAAACUGCUGUGCUUGAGUGCGGGAGGGGAGACUGGAAUACAGGGUGUAGCGGUGAAAUGCGUUGAUAUCCUGUUGAACACCGGUGGCGAAGGCGGGUCUCUGGAACGCAACUGACGCUGAGGCGCGAAAGCGGGGGGAGCAAACAGGAAUAGAUACCCUGGUAGUCCCCGCCCUAAACGUUGCACACUAGAGGUAGGGGGGAUUUCACACCCCUCUGUGUAGGAGAGUAAAGCGUUAAGUGUGCCGCCUGGGGAGUACGGCCGCAAAGGCUAAAACUCAAAGAAAUUGACGGGGACCCGCACAAGCAGAGGAGCAUGUGGCUUAAUUCGAUGCAACGCGAAGAACCUUACCCGGGUUUGACAUGUAACUGCUACUCCCAUGAAAGUGGGAUUCCUUCGAGGGUGUUACACAGGUGCUGCAUGGCUGUCGUCAGUUCGUGCCGUGAGGUGUUUGGUUAAGUCCAGCAACGAACGCAACCCCUGUGUCCAGUUGCCAUCAGGUAGUGCUGGGAACUCUGGACAGACUGCCCGUUUACGCGGGAGGAAGGUGGGGACGACGUCAAGUCAGUAUGGCCCUUACAUCCGGGGCUGCACACGUGCUACAAUGGCCGGUACAAUGGGAAGCUUGGCUGCGAGGCCUGGCCAACCCCCAAAACCGGCCCCAGUUCAGAUCGGGGUCUGCAACCCGACCCCGUGAAGUCGGAUUUGCUAGUAACGGCGCAUCAGCUACGGCGCCGUGAAUACGUUCCCGGGUCUUGCACACACCGCCCGUCA